rnacentral:sRNA from 1 species
AUGCGCGCCGUCGCGAGCGCCUCUGGGACCGGAAGUGCGGGCGAGCGCGGGUCCCCGGGUCUGACAGGAGCAGCCUGUGGGCACCGCGGCGGUAGUUGGAGGCGGGAGAGGGUCCGGAGGUGGGAGAGGGUCCGUAGCCGCGCCGCCCUGCCCCGCCAUGGGCCUCCUGUCGGACCCGGUUCGCCGGCGCGCGCUCGCCCGCCUAGUGCUGCGCCUCAACGCGCCGUUGUGCGUGCUGAGCUACGUGGCGGGCAUCGCCUGGUUCUUGGCGCUGGUUUUCCCGCCGCUGACCCAGCGCACUUACAUGUCGGAGAACGCCAUGGGCUCCACCAUGGUGGAGGAGCAGUUUGCGGGCGGAGACCGUGCCCGGGCUUUUGCCCGGGACUUCGCCGCCCACCGCAAGAAGUCGGGGGCUCUGCCAGUGGCCUGGCUUGAACGGGCGAUGCGGUCAGUAGGGCUGGAGGUCUACACGCAGAGUUUCUCCCGGAAACUGCCCUUCCCAGAUGAGACCCACGAGCGCUAUGUACUGGGGGAGUGGGAUGGUGUCGGGCACCAACGUGUACGGCAUCCUGCGG